rnacentral:tRNA from 1 species
GCUCCGGUAGUAUAGCUCGGUCAAGUAUUUUGGCCUCUCGAGCCAGAAACGCGGGUUCAAAAGCGCGGAGUGAAACCGGUUGAAAAUCCCGCCCGGAGCACCA